GACGAACGCUGGCGGCGUGCCUAAUACAUGCAAGUUGAGCGCUGAAGGUUGGUACUUGUACCAACUGGAUGAGCAGCGAACGGGUGAGUAACGCGUGGGGAAUCUGCCUUUGAGCGGGGGACAACAUUUGGAAACGAAUGCUAAUACCGCAUAAAAACUUUAAACACAAGUUUUAAGUUUGAAAGAUGCAAUUACUUCACUCAAAGAUGAUCCCGCGUUGUAUUAGCUAGUUGGUGAGGUAAAGGCUCACCAAGGCGAUGAUACAUAGCCGACCUGAGAGGGUGAUCGGCCACAUUGGGACUGAGACACGGCCCAAACUCCUACGGGAGGCAGCAGUAGGGAAUCUUCGGCAAUGGACGAAAGUCUGACCGAGCAACGCCGCGUGAGUGAAGAAGGGUUUCGGAUCGUAAAACUCUGUUGGUAGAGAAGAACGUUGGUGAGAGUGGAAAGCUCAUCAAGUGACGGUAACUACCCAGAAGGGGACGGCUAACUACGUG
rnacentral:rRNA from 1 species